rnacentral:ribozyme from 1 species
UCAGACUUCCGUGCUCCUGGCUGUCAAGUUAAAUCAAAUCGUUGAGUUCUGGUGCCUCAAACGUCAUUCAUGUAUUGGUAUUUAUAACCAUCAGGCUCUUGAAGGUGGAAAAUCUUCCAAAUUUGUCCGAGAAACAACUGAUCAAG